AACGAACGCUGGCGGCAUGCCUAACACAUGCAAGUCGAACGAGAUCUUCGGGUCUAGUGGCGCACGGGUGCGUAACGCGUGGGAAUCUGCCCUUUGGUUCGGAAUGACAGUUGGAAACGACUGCUAAUACCGGAUGAUGACGAAAGUCCAAAGAUUUAUCGCCAGAGGAUGAGCCCGCGUAGGAUUAGCUAGUUGGUGUGGUAAAGGCGCACCAAGGCGACGACCCUUAGCUGGUCUGAGAGGAUGAUCAGCCACACUGGGACUGAGACACGUGCCAGACUCCUCCGGGAGGCAGCAGUGGGGAAUAUUGGACAAUGGGCGAAAGCCUGAUCCAGCAAUGCCGCGUGAGUGAUGAAGGACUUAGGGUUGUAAAGCUCUUUUACCCGGGAUGAUAAUGACAGUACCGGGAGAAUAAGCUCCGGCUAACUCCGUGCCAGCCGCCGCCGUAA
rnacentral:rRNA from 1 species